AGGUAGUGACAAGAAAUAACAAUACGGGGCUUAAUGUCUUGUAAUUGGAAUGAUGGGAAUUUAAACCUCUUCCAGAGUAUCAAUUGGAGGGCAAGUCUGGUGCCAGCAGCCGCGGUAAUUCCAGCUCCAAUAGCGUAUAUUAAAAUUGUUGCAGUUAAAAAGCUCGUAGUUGAAUUUCUGCUGCAUUGCAUUUUCUCCUAUACGAGUUUUUGCAUUGUGGCUUAUUUCGGUUAUAAAAUUAAUUUUAUUUCCGGAUGUUUACUUUGAGAAAAUUAUAGUGCUCAAAGCAGGCUUUUGCCUUGAAUAGUUUAGCAUGGAAUAAUAAAGUAGGACUUUGGUUCUAUUUUGUUGGUUUUAGGUACCUAAGUAAUGGUUAAUAGGAACA
rnacentral:rRNA from 1 species